GUGGGGAAUCUUGCGCAAUGGGCGAAAGCCUGACGCAGCCAUGCCGCGUGAAUGAUGAAGGUCUUAGGAUUGUAAAAUUCUUUCACCGGGGACGAUAAUGACGGUACCCGGAGAAGAAGCUCCGGCUAACUUCGUGCCAGCAGCCGCGGUAAUACGAAGGGGGCUAGCGUUGCUCGGAAUUACUGGGCGUAAAGGGCGCGUAGGCGGACAGCUUAGUCAGAGGUGAAAGCCCAGGGCUCAACCUUGGAAUUGCCUUUGAUACUGGCUGUCUUGAGUUUGGGAGAGGUGAGUGGAACUCCGAGUGUAGAGGUGAAAUUCGUAGAUAUUCGGAAGAACACCAGUGGCGAAGGGGACUCACUGGCCCAAUACUGACGCUGAGGCGCGAAAGCGUGGGGAGCAAACAGGAUUAGAAACCCGGGUAGUCC
rnacentral:rRNA from 1 species